GACGGUACCUGAAGAAAAAGCAUCGGCUAACUCCGUGCCAGCAGCCGCGGUAAUACGAAGGAUGCAAGCGUUACCCGGAAUCAUUGGGCGUAAAGGGUCCGCAGGUGGCCAAUCAAGUCGGCUGUUAAAGACCGGGGCUUAACUCCGGGCAGGCAGUGGAAACUGAUUAGCUAGAGUACGGUAGGGGUAGAGGGAAUUCCCAGUGUAGCGGUGAAAUGCGUAGAUAUUGGGAAGAACACCGGUGGCGAAAGCGCUCUACUAGGCCGAAACUGACACUGAGGGACGAAAGCUAGGGUAGCGAAAGGGAUUAGAUACCCCUGUAGUCUUAGCCGUAAACGAUGGAUACUAGGUGUAGCUCGUAUCGACCCCAGCUGUGCCGAAGCUAACGCGAUAAGUAUCUCGCCUGGGGAGUACGCACGCAAGUGUGAAACUCAAAGGAAUUGACGGGGGCCCGCACAAGCGGUGGAGUAUGUGGUUUAAUUCGAUGCAACGCGAAGAACCUUACCAGGGCUUGACAUGUCGCGAAUCUAGCGGAAACGUUAGAGUGCCUUAGGGAAUGCGAACACAGGUGGUGCAUGGCUGUCGUCAGCUUGUGUCGUGAGAUGUUGGGUUAAGUCCCGCAACGAGCGCAACCCUCGUCCUUAGUUGCCAAUAUUAAGUUAGGCACUCUAGGGAUACUGCCGGGGACAACUCGGAGGAAGGUGGGGAUGACGUCAAGUCAGCAUGCCCCUUACGUCCUGGGCGACACACGUACUACAAUGGUUGGGACAAAGGGCAGCAAGCUCGCGAGAGUAAGCGAAUCUCAUCAAACCCAGCCACAGUUCAGAUUGCAGGCUGCAACUCGCCUGCAUGAAGUAGGAAUCGCUAGUAAUCGCAGGUCAGCAUACUGCGGUGAUUUCGUUCCCGGGCCUUGUACACACCGCCCGUCACACCAUGGAAGCUGGCUACGCCCGAAGUCGUUACCCUAACCCUAAGGGGAGGGGGAUGCCGAAGGUAGAGCUAGUGACUAGGGUGAAGUCGUAACAAGGUAGCCGUACCUGAAGGUGUGGCUGGAUCACCUCCUUU
rnacentral:rRNA from 1 species